rnacentral:rRNA from 1 species
CCUACGGGGGGCUGCAGUGGGGAAUAUUGGACAAUGGGGGCAACCCUGAUCCAGCCAUGCCGCGUGUGUGAAGAAGGCCCUCGGGUUGUAAAGCACUUUCAGUGAGGAAGAACGCCUGGUGGUUAAUACCCAUCAGGAAAGACAUCACUCACAGAAGAAGCACCGGCUAACUCCGUGCCAGCAGCCGCGGUAAUACGGAGGGUGCGAGCGUUAUUCGGAAUUACUGGGCGUAAAGCGCGCGUAGGUGGCUUGAUAAGCCGGUUGUGAAAGCCCCGGGCUCAACCUGGGAACGGCAUCCGGAACUGUCAAGCUAGAGUGCAGGAGAGGAAGGUAGAAUUCCCGGUGUAGCGGUGAAAUGCGUAGAGAUCGGGAGGAAUACCAGUGGCGAAGGCGGCCUUCUGGACUGACACUGACACUGAGGUGCGAAAGCGUGGGUAGCAAACAGGAUUAGAUACCCCAGUAGUC